rnacentral:lncRNA from 1 species
CUUCUCUGUCCUGUCACCUGGUGAAAAAAAGUGCUUGCUUCCCCUUCCCCUUCUGCCAUGAUUGUGAGUUUCCUGAGGCCUCCUCAGCCAUACCGAACUGAUACCUGCUUUGGGAGCCUUCUGCUGCUGCGUGAGAUCCCUGGCUACCCUGGAGAGACAUCAGACAACAAGUGAGAUGCCCAAGAGCCCUAGCUGUCUUUGUCUUUGCAGCCCAAGCUCCAGACAUGUACUGAAGAAGCUUUAAGGAUAAAUUCAGUCCCAACUACUCCCUGGCUACAACUAUGAGACAGACCCUCCCAAGUCAGAACUGCCUAGCCAAGCUCAGGCAACUCCAAGAUUUAAGAGCAAAAUAAAAGAUAGUUAUUGCUUUAA